rnacentral:pre_miRNA from 14 species
GUUCGAAUAUGACCUUGACCAUGACCUUCAAGGUCAUUUAGAGGUCAACCUGAUUUUUUCUCUCUAAAUGAGCUUGAAGGUCAUGGUCAAGGUCACAU